rnacentral:rRNA from 1 species
GACGAACGCUGGCGGCGGUGCUUAACACAUGCAAGUCGAACGAGAGGACAAGGAGAAGCUUAGGCUUCUUUGGAAUCGAGUGGCAAACGGGUGAGUAACACGUAAACAACCUGCCUUCAGGAUGGGGACAACAGACGGAAACGACUGCUAAUACCGAAUACGCUUGGAAGACCGCAUGAUCUUCCAAGGAAAGGGUGGCCUCUACCUGUAAGCUAUCGCCUGAAGAGGGGUUUGCGUCUGAUUAGGCAGUUGGUGAGGUAACGGCCCACCAAACCUACGAUCAGUAGCCGGUCUGAGAGGAUGAACGGCCACACUGGAACUGAGACACGGUCCAG